GACGAACGUUGGCGGCGUGGAUUAGGCAUGCAAGUCGAGCGAGAACCCAGCAAUGGGGGACAGCGGCGAAAGGGACAGUAAUGUGUAGAUCAUCUGCCCUCAGGUCCGGGAUAGCUGCGGGAAACUGCAGGUAGUACCGGAUAACAUCUCCGGAUCAAAGGUGUGAUUCCGCCUGAGGAUGAGUCUACAUCCUAUUAGCUAGUUGGUGGGGUAAUGGCCUACCAAGGCGAUGAUGGGUAGCGGGUGUGAGAGCACGACCCGCGUCAUUGGGACUGAGACACUGCCCAGACACCUACGGGUGGCUGCAGUCGAGAAUCUUCGGCAAUGGGCGCAAGCCUGACCGAGCGACGCCGCGUGCGGGAUGAAGGCCU
rnacentral:rRNA from 1 species